AUACGGAGUUUCAGCUGCAAGGCAAAAUAUUAUUUUUAGCAGCAAUAUCUCAAUUGAGAAUUCAAAAUUAAAGUUUGUGAUAGUGGAGGAAGGUGCAAACCUUUGUCUCAGGAUCCUUGAGCUUGGUGACAGUCUCGCGCCAAGCCUCGCAGUUUCCUAGGUGGAAUUCUGAAGUAAGGGCCGUCACUUCUUGACAUAG